rnacentral:lncRNA from 12 species
UACAGGUGGUUGAAAGAAGGAUCCCUCUUUAUCCAUUUCAUUAUUGAUGAAUUCCUGAAAAGUUGCAUGAAAGUUCAUUUUCAAUCAUGAAAUGCAUUGCUGGCCUUCAGCGUGAGUUGUUCGAAGCCAAAGGAAGAUAGAUAGUCUGACAAAGCCUGUCGUGUCUUUGGUUGAAGUAUUUCACAAGAGAUAAGGCCCUGCUACAGCCAACGUACUCAUGAGACAACUGACAGCAUCCUGCUUGCAGCUGCCCCUCAGAGACCUUGACUCACUGGUUAUGGCUGGAAUCCAGGUCCUGUCUCUCUCAGUUUUCAUUGCGUGUUCUGAACUUUGUCAGAGCCAUUCUGUAUUUGAUUUAUCUUCUACCAGGAUGGUGGCUCCAUAUUCAAUCUGUGUGCCAAGUACUUCUGAGGCAGCAUUUCCAAAGCAGAUAAUUUAAUUUCUCCAUUUUCAGAAAGCAAAGAGCAAGCCACCUUAUUAACUAGAGAUGUGCUUAUUUGGUGCUGCGUGGGGGCUGACUUAUCCCUCUGAAUCUGAGGAAGCUCAUCUUGUUCUUGAGGUUUAAUUCUCCUUAAAAUCUCUCUGCAACUCUCCCACCCUGACCCCCACACACAUCCUCAGACACAAACAUACAUACAUACUUACAAGUCCAAAUUCUGGUAGUUCUCUGAGGCUCCUUUAAGGCUUUUCCUCUCCGUGGACAUUUUUCCAAUUAGGGAACCUACGGUGUAUUUUCUCCUCUCCUGUGGUACAUAGUGUCUGCAAUACACUAUUUAUUUAUUACUUAUUUAUAAUUUAUUUUUAUUUUUAAAGAUUAUUUAUUUAUUUAUUCAUGAGAGACACAGAAAGAGAGAGAGAGAGAGAGAGGCGGAAACACAGGCAGAGGGAGAAGCAGACUCCAUGUAGGGAGCCUGACGUGGGAAUCGAUCCCGGGUCUCCAGGAUCACACCCUGGGCCGAAGGCAGGCGCCAAACCGCUGAGCCACCCAGGGAUCCCUGCAAUACACAAUUUAAUACUUGCCUUAUUAUAUUGUCUUGUACUGUCCUCUUAGUGGACUCAGUCCAUAUCUUAUAAUUCUCCUGGUGAUGAUUUUAUUCACUCAUCUAUUCAACGUUUAUUGACUACUUGAUAUAUUAGGUCCUGUGCUAGGUACUGGAGCUUUGAAGAUAAUUAUUGAUACAUUGUGCCUGUCUUCAAGGAGUGCCCAGUCUAGUAGGGGAGAUAAAUAACCAUAGAAGUACAGUAACGUAUUCCAGGUACUACGAUAGAAAUCAAAGUAGAGUAUAGGGGAAGCAUAAAGGAAGGAGUAGGGGCCAGUUCUACUCGAAGUAGGAAAAGCUCAUAAUAGAAGUGAUUGAUUCAGCUUAGUUUUCCACACUUAGUCUGUUUUUACUUGGGAGAAAAGAAGAAUAUUCCAAACAGUAAGAGCAUCAGAAGAA